GAAUAUUGGACAAUGGGCGCAAGCCUGAUCCAGCCAUGCCGCGUGUGUGAAGAAGGCCUUCGGGUUGUAAAGCACUUUUGUCCGGAAAGAAAAGCCUCGGGUUAAUACCCCGGGGUCCUGCCGGUCUCGGAAGAAUACGCACCGGCUAACUUCGUGCCAGCAGCCGCGGUAAUACGAAGGGUGCAAGCGUUACUCGGAAUUACUGGGCGUAAAGCGUGCGUAGGUGGUUUGUUAAGUCUGAUGGGAAAGCCCUGGGCUCAACCUGGGAAUUGCAUUGGAUACUGGCAAGCUAGAGUGCGGUAGAGGAUGGCGGAAUUCCCGGUGUAGCAGUGAAAUGCGUAGAGAUCGGGAGGAACAUCUGUGGCGAAGGCGGCCAUCUGGACCAGCACUGACACUGAGGCACGAAAGCGUGGGGAGCAAACAGG
rnacentral:rRNA from 1 species